rnacentral:tRNA from 1 species
GCCCGUGAGGUAGAGUACGCUAAAAUGCAAAUUUAGAGACGCACCCGAAGUAGGUGCCGGGGCUUCUCCCGUUUUAAGAGAGAACGGGAGAAGA